AGAGUUUGAUCCUGGCUCAGGACGAACGCUGGCGGCGUGCCUAACACAUGCAAGUCGAACGGGACCGGGGGCAACUCCGGUUCAGUGGCGGACGGGUGCGUAACACGUGAGGAACAUGACCUUCGGCGGGGGAUAGCCGGCCCAACGGCCGGGUAAUACCGCGUACGACCUUUCGGGGACAUCCCUGGAUGGUGAAAGCAGCAAUGCGCCGAUGGAGUGCCUCGCGGCCUAUCAGCUAGUUGGUGGGGUAACGGCCUACCAGGCGACGACGGUAGCUGGUCUGAGAGGAUGGCCAGCC
rnacentral:rRNA from 1 species